UCAAGCAAUCAAGUGGGAGGCGGUCAGUGUUAGCAAACAAGAGAGUUUAGUACACCAAACAAGCUAGCACAAUUCCAGUGUGAUUAUGCAUUACAAGGCCUAAGCGAUCACAUCUUUCCCUGAUUUAGCGACUCGGAGUAAUGGCUCUGCGCUGACAGGCUUGUAUGUGGGCAGAUAUACUUGCUUUAAAAAGCCUGGUAUCUCGUUCUGAGGCUGGAUGCAAUGAAAGCACCUUAGCAAUGCCACAGUUCACAUGGACAAGCUGUGUGGUGCCGCAACUCUUGGGAAUCAAUAGCCAUCGUGCCAUGAACCCCAGCAGCCUCCUACAAAAAAAUCAAUAGGGGCCGUUUGUGGCUUAGCAGCCAUCAAUUGAUGUUGAUAAUGGAGGGGGCAGAGUAGAGAGCGGUGGAGUGGCCCUCCACUCUGAGAGCCCGCUGAGGGUUCAUCUCCAUGGAACCCCCCUCCUCUCAACGGCAGAGACACGCACUGACUUCUAACCAGACCUUUCUAUGAGAGUGCAAGAAAACCCUCGGCUCACUGUGUUCCUGUUUACAACCAGCUAAUGUUGAACUUUUAAAGUCUUUUUUUUGCAAUGUGAGAGCAUAUCUUAAAAAUCUGCACAUCCUCAGGACAUUUGUGCUGGGUUUA